rnacentral:rRNA from 1 species
CAGCAGCCGCGGUAACACAGAGGGUGCGAGCGUUAAUCGGAUUUACUGGGCGUAAAGCGUGCGUAGGCGGCUAAUUGAGUCGGAUGUGAAAUCCCCGAGCUUAACUUGGGAAUUGCAUUCGAUACUGGUUAGCUAGAGUGUGGGAGAGGAUGGUAGAAUUCCAGGUGUAGCGGUGAAAUGCGUAGAGAUCUGGAGGAAUACCGAUGGCGAAGGCAGCCAUCUGGCCUAACACUGACGCUGAGGUACGAAAGCAUGGGGAGCAAACAGGAUUAGAUACCCCCGUAGUCCCUGUCUCUUAUAC